AGCAGUAUAACUCAAUUGGUAGAGUGUUCGAUUUUUAAUUGAAAGAUAUUGGUUCAAUUCCAAUUAUUGCUU
rnacentral:tRNA from 1 species